GAUGUUGAAACUGCAAAGCCAGCUGCCACUAACCCGUAGAUCCGAACUUGUGUUUUACAUAUCCCACAAGCUCAUGUCUAUAGGUCUGUGUCUACAUGGUAGAGGCAACAGAGAUUUU
rnacentral:precursor_RNA from 17 species